rnacentral:pre_miRNA from 1 species
UCGAAGGCAUGAACGUUCGAAGGGAGAGUACUUUCCCCAAUAGGGGAAAAUACUCUCCCUUCGAAUGUUCAUGCCUUCGA